rnacentral:rRNA from 1 species
GCCUCUCCUUCCCCCGCAAACUGUUCGCUGGGAGACCCCGCCUCCACUCCACCGCGCCGCCGCUGCCGCCGCCGUGGCCAUCCCGGCGAGCACAUACCUUAGCUCCGCGGCAUAUAGGAGGUCUCCCGGCUGUUGACCCACAGGAUAGGGCUGCCCUCGCCGCAAAACCCACCCAGCCAGCCGCCCCCCUUCCCUUUCCUCGCCUCUCCUUCCCCCGCAAACUGUUCGCUGGGAGACCCCGCCUCCACUCCACCGCGCCGCCGUGGCCUUCCCGGCGCGCACAUACCUUAGCUCCGCUGCUUUGUUCACUGACACAGCUAAACAGUGGGUACGUAAAUGGAGAUGAAGUCGUCUAAACGGCCCUUCGAGUUGCUCAUAGAGAAGAGGCUAUGCCUUGAAAUCCUCAGAUCUGAUUACAUCAAAAUGUUUCACAAGAUUAAGGUCCACAAGAAUGCCAUAGACGAGAUUUACAAUCAAGUCAACCAUGUUGAGCCAUGGAUGAUUAACGACAAGAGGGUCCCUGGGCACGAUACCUUCAUUGCCCUCACCAAACCCGUCCGCAUUGUCCCCUCCAAGGCCUUCUGCCUCCUUUACAAGCCCUUCACCAUGAAACUUACCACGAAGCAGAUCAAGGACCUAAUUGACAACACGCACUCGCCUUAUGUCAGAGCUAUUGGAUUUUUAUACCUGCGGUAUGUUGCGGAACCAGAUACCUUAUGGACUUGGUAUGAGCCCUACAUUCGAGAUGACGAGAAGUUUUCGCCUGGACCCAAUGGUCAAAUGACUACUAUGGGCGUUUAUGUGCGUGAUCUCCUCCUGGGUGAGCGCUACUUCGGCAGUCCUCUUCCGCGAAUGCCAACCCGAGUUUUGCAAGAGGUCAUGGCCGAUCUUAAGACGAUGAGGCUCCCAACAAAACUGUCAGGGAUAAUUCAGUAUUCUUCCGUACAAGGAAGUGAAAGUGGUCAUGCAAAAUCUCCACCGAGGAAGCACCGAAGUCAAAGUUGUGAGAGUAGUCAUGAUACUGAGAGGAACCAUUCAGAGCAUGAUCGUCCUAGGCACAAUGUUAGGGAGCAAGGUCGGCAAGCCCAAGUCAAGAAAGACCUUGAAAGGGAUGAUGAGAGACGUAGGGGUUCUGACCGAAAUGGCUGUUCGAGUGGACGCCGCAGGAGCAGAAGCAGGAGCCGUGAAAGGAGGGACUGGGGACUUGACCGUGAAAGGAAGGACCCUGGUCGAAACAGGCGUUCGAGAGGCCGCAGUGGCAGGAGCAGGAGCAGGAGCAGGAGUAGGGGCAGGAGGUGGAGCAGGGGCGAGCACGAGCCUGAGCAGGAGCAGGAGCGUCAGCCCCACUUCAUUUUGCGAAGAUGAAGGGAGUAUGGCGAACGCCAUCUAACAUAUAAAGCCUGCUAGACUACCCGCUGUUCCAGCGGCAUUGCGUUCGCGCAGCAUUUUCAACCGCACGAUGCAUUUACUGUUUGCAGUUUUACCCUGCUGUCAAUUGGCCAACCGCUCGUUGCAUUCACACACGUCCAAUAAUUAUGUAGCUCUAUGACUGAUGGGGUCGAGUGUCUAUGGGGCCACUGAGCGGAGGCUGGGUUUCUCUUGAGCUGGGUGGGCGAUUGGCUGGUGGACCGCAGUUCGUGGUUGGGUGGGAGCGACGUGAAGGGAUGGGUUUUCCCUGGUCUACGCAGACCGUGCUCUACCCUGCUGUUUCGAUGGUCCCGGUUGGCAUUUGGGCCUGCUGUGAAGUGGCUUGGGUGCUCAGGUAGCUCAUACGAGAGGGAUUGCCAACUGGAUAAGAGCGGCGUGGCGGUCUCGACCAUUGGUCAGAGGCCAUGUGACCUAGCCGCCCGCAGCUGCAGCCGCCUCCUCUCCUCUUCCUCGUUCUCCUGCCGCCGCCGCCGCCUCCUCUCCUCUCCCCGAAUUCUCCUACCUCAGUCGUCGUUGUCGCCGCCGCCGCCGUCGACCUAGACGUCACCGGCUGAGACCGCUGUGGUAUGGAUAAGGAGACGAGAGGAAGAGGACAUCCUUCCCUGACAGCGCCCCGACCUGCCAGGUCAUCCUCCUCGUCGGCCUAGGUCUGGUUCUGCUGGAUUAGAUGGACAGAAGUGGUGGAUCCGAUGGUUGCCGGAAUCCCUCAUCGUCGGAGGAAGGCGUGCGACCGGCAAAGAAAUAGGCUGAUGGAGCAGGAUGGGGUGGCGGUUCAAGUUCGGCGGCCUUCGCGUGUUGUGGUUGGCGGCGCUGCACUUCCCUUCUCCCCUGCCCAGAUUAUCCUUCAAAGGAGGCCACAAAGAGCAGCGAUGGCUUCUUGGUAAUCUGCAAUUGGCCACAAAGGAUGAGGUACAUGGAGAUUGCCAGCCACCUUCCAUUGGUGUAUAUGCAAGCUACAGAGAAAACCAAAUAUGCACCAUGCCGAUAUGCUUCAUGACGAGUGUGCUUUUGUCAUCCCUCACCCUCUCAGAUGGCCAUUAGGUGCUAACCAAGAGGUGCACGCCAUGAAUCAAACUACCGAGGGGGCAUACAGUAAUAAGGAGGGAGUGGCUAUCGCAGCGAAGCUACCCUCCCCCUCAAUCAUGCACUGCUUUUCAAACGCAGUUUGCCACUGCUGUUUAAUUAGCUUCUGCAUUAGCAGCGGAUUCAGAGUUUAUUCUUCAGCGGAUUCAAUUUGCGGGAGACUCCUGUUGCAGUUUGGUGACAUAGAUCAGUGUCAAGUCGCUUAACAAAUGCAGCUAGGUUCCAUUCAGUUAGCCAAAGCCAUUGUGCAUUAAAAUUGUAGAUGUGCAUGAGAGUGUGGAAAUCAUUAUGGCACGUCUAUGAGCAUGCUAUACUCCCAUGCUACUUUCAGUUAUUGACCACUAGCUUUAUUACAGCACCCAGGAUUUCAGGGUUUGCUUUACUUAGGUUAGUAUGUACUCUACCACAGAUGAAUUGGUUAUAUCUCAUUUUAAUAUACUUCAUUAGUAAUUACUAAAUAAUCUAAAGCGAGUUCUAUGGCAAAUUUUGUUUGGGUCUACUUUUUUGGAUCAUUUCCAUAUCUACAUUUCUUACAUAUAAAGGUAUGCUGCAAAAAUUAAGGGUCUGGAUGGUAAUUUAUGGCUGUUUCAGUUGCUGACCAUGUGAUUAUGGUAGUCUACAAUUUGCUUAUGGGUUCUUCAUUGCUUGAUUUUUAUCUCGGACAAAAGAGGGCCAGCCACACCUUUGAAAUAAGCAGCGGCCAUCCAGUCCAGAACAGACUGAAUCUGCUCGACAAAGUGUGAAAAUGCAAUUACUGCUUGGAAAAGUGUAAAAAAGGCUAGGGUAUCAUUUAUGUAGUUAUUUGGAAUGCAAGGUUAGGAA